AAUGGAUACGACAGUCACCACUAAGAAACAGCAGAGAUUAAUAUAUAUGAUGAUUACUCUGGCAUCGUUGAUGGGAGUUGGAUUAAAAAGACAAGAAAAGCAGAAGCCUAUGUUCCAUGUGCAAGUCACAGAUUAAAUACAGAGCAAGGAUUGCAGAGAACACUUAGAAAGCCAUUCCAGUAUUGGAGAAUUAUGAGUUCUCUACAUUCGACAAGUAUUACCAAAAGUCUACUGGCAACAUCUGGACAAUUAAGCAGAUACAAGAAUAAAAAAGACAUAUGCUUUGUCCUCAAGCACUUAACAUUUAGCAGGCAAAAACAUAACUAUAGUCCAAAUGGGAGGUGAAAUUUGUUUCUUACAGGUGCUCAGUGGAAAAGAGAGAAGGAAUGUUAUCUUUGGGAUAUCCAAACAGUG